ACGUACACUCCUACGGGAGGCAGCAGUGGGGAAUAUUGGACAAUGGGCGCAAGCCUGAUCCAGCCAUGCCGCGUGAGUGAUGAAGGCCCUAGGGUUGUAAAGCUCUUUUGUGCGGGAAGAUAAUGACGGUACCGCAAGAAUAAGCCCCGGCUAACUUCGUGCCAGCAGCCGCGGUAAUACGAAGGGGGCUAGCGUUGCUCGGAAUCACUGGGCGUAAAGGGUGCGUAGGCGGGUCUUUAAGUCAGGGGUGAAAUCCUGGAGCUCAACUCCAGAACUGCCUUUGAUACUGAAGAUCUUGAGUUCGGGAGAGGUGAGUGGAACUGCGAGUGUAGAGGUGAAAUUCGUAGAUAUUCGCAAGAACACCAGUGGCGAAGGCGGCUCACUGGCCCGAUACUGACGCUGAGGCACGAAAGCGUGGGGAGCAAACAGGAUUAGAAACCCGAGUAGUCCCAUG
rnacentral:rRNA from 1 species